rnacentral:rRNA from 1 species
UACGUAGGGGGCAAGCGUUGUCCGGAAUCAUUGGGCGUAAAGCGCGCGUAGGCGGUCCGAUAAGUCUGCUGUGAAAGUCGGGGGCUCAACCCUCGGAUGCCGGUGGAUACUGUCGGGCUUGAGUGCGGAAGAGGCAAGUGGAAUUCCCGGUGUAGCGGUGAAAUGCGCAGAUAUCGGGAGGAACACCAAUGGCGAAGGCAGCUUGCUGGGACGGUACUGACGCUGAGGCGCGAAAGCGUGGGGAGCAAACAGG